UACACACACACAUACGCACAGUAAUGUAUAAGAUGCAUGUAAUGUAGUAAUAUUUUUCUUUCUUUCUGUCUUACAGGAUUGUUUGCAGAUAAUGCUGUUCAAGCUCAACAGCUCUUUUAAGAGCCAACCCUCACAAACCUUCCUAAAAACUAAAAGAGCUGUUACUGAGUCUCAGCGAAUCUUGCCAUGAUCAGCUCUUCCCAGAAGAGAAGGAAGACCAAGGAAAUGAUUUGCUCAUGAGGAAUGAAGACGGCCAUCUUGAGCCCAAACAAAGACAGAAGUCCUCUGAUGAUCUCAUCAGCCAAAUGGGGGGUUUUGACCAAGUGAUGCUCUUGAAAGGACUGAAAGAAGAGGAUGUGGUAAAUUGUCUUCAGAGAAAAACCUUCUCAAAAGGUCUCAAAACAGCUUGAAGAAUGGUCUGGGAUCUUAGGACUGAGAGAUCCUCUGGCUGAGAGAAGCUACACCACAUCAGUGCUGGAUAUCAACCACAAACAGUUUCCAGACACGAGAGAAGAAGAUCACGAUGGGGAGAUGAAACCAGUUUAGAUGUGAUGAUGGGAAUCAUUAUUUUCUGGAACAGUAUCACAUGUCUUAUAUGCAUCACAUGAUCUGUAUCACAGUUGACUGAAUGGAUUAUUUUUACUUUUAAGGACAUUUCAUCACUCAUCUGUGUGAACUGAUUAAUUUAUGAUAUUAAUGAAUUUUUGAUCCUUUAUUAUUUUCCUUGAAUUGUGUUUGUCUUGAAGCUACUUUAUCAACUUCAUAGUCUAUGCUUCAAUAAAAUUAAUAUGGUGAAUAUUGUGUGUUGAAAAUUCUUGGUAAAUUCAUAAUUUUACUAGAUACUGUAGGCUACUAUGGGUUUAUUCUACACUUGAAAAACUACAUAUUAAUUACCAGGAUUAUUUUUUGCUUAAACAUUAAUGACAUCUGGAACAACAAUACACCAGAAAGUUAUUAUUGUAUAUAUUUAAUCACAAAUAUGCCUAUAUAUCUAUAUAAAGGGAUUUACUAGAUGAAUUAUUUUGAAAAGCCA